AUUUAAUAAAUGAGGCGUUGAAAGCCAAAGUGGUACAAGUCCCAAAAUUGCAGUUUUGAGAUAACACCGACCUCUAUAUGUUAUUGGGGAAAAGUACCAUGUGACAAAAUUUAAAAAUUCUCACUUUUAAAUUAGACCUGUAGAUUGCGCUAGUGAGAUCUGCAUAAUAACGUUUUAUUCAAAUCGUUCAAAGGCAAAGUGGUACAAAUGUGACUUAUACCACUUUGCCAUUAAAUGGAAUUGCAGAUAUAUUAUUAGUGCAUUUUUCUUGUAAUGGUGAAAUGUGUUUUGUCGACAUUAAAAAUGAGUUGUAGUGAUACUGAAAGUGAGCCACUUCCUUCUAGUGAAAGUGAGUACGAACCAGAGGAUUACUCAUCAUCAGAGCCAUCAGAUUCAGAAACGCUCAAUGAAGACUAUCCUUUCAAUGCUAUUAGUUUACUGCCAAACCGAAGAGGUGCUCCUAAAAUGUUCAAGGCCAUCGAGCUUUCGUCUCUGUAUCAGGGCCCACUUGAAAUUAAUGAUAAAAAGAAGAAAAAUAUGGAAGAACUUUUUCAAUUUAUUCCUCCGAUUCAUCAAAAUUACCUACUUCAAGGAUGUAAUUGGAAAUUGUGACGUUGAAGAUCCUUGAAGAAUUGGAAGAAGAAGAUGAUGACAGUUAGUUUCCCCAUUGUUUUGGAAUAUACUCGUGUUUUUAUUUUUCAUAUAAAUUAUGUUUUAUUUCCUCUUUUGGUAAUAAAUUUUUAAAAACGUUUUCAAUUUUAUUGUGUCUCAUUGCAACGUUUUUUAAAGGUAUAAUAACUUUUUGUUCUUAUUAUUAGAGAGCAAAAAAUCUAUUAUUGUGGUAUACCCAAACAUAUAUUAAAAAGUAUUGAAAGUCAUAGUGGUCUAAGUCACAAAAAAGGUCAAAAAGGUAACAAAAUUUUAAAAAUCAGGAUUCAGGAUUUUUUAAUUGACGUGCAACUUUAGGUUAAUUUAUCUAAAAACAAAGUUUUUGGACUUAGACCAUGCUGGCUCUCAAAGCCUCAAAUGAUCUCACAAUAUUAUAAGUAAAUAGAACACUGUAAUAUCUAGAUCUCAAAUGUCAAAGUUUAAAUUUAAAUGACUAUCAAACAAAUGCACUAUAAUUACAAUUCGAUUGUAUCGAAAACCAGUAUGUAGUCAAACGUCGAAAAUAAAAAAAAAUUACUUUUGAACUCUGGUUGUAACGGCCUUUGAGCUCAGAAGCGCACUGUUCUGCCUUAUCUGUAACAGAUAACAACAAACAAAUAAGAGGGAUAGUAGAUAGUGCGGCACAAUAAUAUUGCGGUAGAAAUGUACAACAUCUGAUACUAAUCAGGUACUCGUAUACUAAAACCGUAAUUAGUACUCAAUAAGAAUCAAUAAUUUAAAUCACUACACUAGCAAAAGCAAAAUUUUGAUUUACAAUGGAUUGUCCGUACUAAAUCGGUGAUGACAAAAACAUAAACGUAACGUUAACUCAAGAAAAACGAUGCACAACAACCUAAUUCAAAAUGUAAAUGGGAUAACACGAACAAACUCUUCGGAGUAACCAAAAAUCGUAGAUAUCUGUUUCGGACUACGUCUCGGUAAUUCUAAAGAAUAAUUUACAAAGGAGCGGUAUCUAAAUAUCUCGUAUAACACUCUAAUCUGAUAUAAUGUAAUCAAGCUAACAAGAAUGAAUUUUUGGAGUAACAAUAGUAGGUAAUGUAGAUCAAAUCGGGUCUCGAUAUCGGUAAGGUGAAUCUUCGUAGCGACAAAAGCAAAGUACGUAAAAUCAGAUAUAUCGGACCGAUUCACAAAGAUACCUAAUAUUCACCAAAAGGUUUCGUUUGCGCCAGCACAUCAGAAAUGAUGAGAAACACUUCAAAGAAAUAUGAUUAUAGCCGAAACAAUAAGCCCUUAUUCAGACAGAUAUGUCAAGUAAAAAGUAAUGGCGUAUGGAGAAAAAUUUGCACUUAACUAUGUGUACCAGAUACUCUCUGCACGAAAAGAAAUACAACGCAACAUCAAAUUAAGAAGGGAUGGAAUUAGAAGUUUCACGGAUGGCCUCUAGUGGCGAAAAUAAAGAACUAAGAAUACAUCGAAAAUUCAGCAAACAAUAGAAAGCAAAUGUCUGACUUGAUGACGCUGAUACUGGACCUUCCGACCCUCUACUACUACUGCUGCAAUGUGUGCUGCUUCUUUUAGUCAAGAAGCUCAUCAGAAAAAGUUUGGUAAUCUUGAAUUAUCAAAGAUUGACGAUAACAGAAAUGGAUUAUUUACUUUUGAUAAAUGUAAAAACGUAAUACGCUGCCGUGGAAAUGGUAGACCCAUGGACAGAGGAAAAGAAUUGGGAGAAAAUAAAGAACCGGAUUCCGAAUGAAUGCAUAUGGUAGAAUCAUAUUUGCGAAGAGGGCAAUAUAAAGGGAAGGGCAAAAGGAGGUUUACUAAGAAGCGUAAAAAAGGGCCAAAGUCGCUAAGGCAACGGGGGGAUGAAACGAAAGAGAGGGAAGGAAUAUAGGAUGGAUGUGUAGAAGUGGAGGGAAAGAAAAUGACAUUGAUAACGUUAUACAACCGAGAAGGAUUUAAAAAAUAAAAUAGAAAAUAUACAAAAAAUAUAGUAAAUAAA